rnacentral:rRNA from 1 species
UACAGAGGACUCAGCAGUUCGUUCGGAUUCAUUGGGCGUAAAGGGUGCGUAGGUGGCGGGGCAAGUUUGGUGUGAAAUCCCGGGGGCUCAACCCCCGGAACUGCACUGAAUACUGCCUUGCUUGAGCACUGGAGAGGGAACUGGAAUUUACGGUGUAGCAGUGAAAUGCGUAGAUAUCGUAAGGAAGACCAGUGGCGAAGGCGAGUUCCUGGACAGUUGCUGACACUGAGGCACGGAAGGCUAGGGGAGCAAACGGG